rnacentral:rRNA from 1 species
UACGAAGGGUGCAAGCGUUAAUCGGAAUUACUGGGCGUAAAGCGCACGUAGGCGGAUUGUUAAGUCGGGGGUGAAAUCCCAGGGCUCAACCCUGGAACUGCCUUCGAUACUGGCAUUCUUGAGUCCGAGAGAGGUGAGUGGAAUUCCGAGUGUAGAGGUGAAAUUCGUAGAUAUUCGGAAGAACACCAGUGGCGAAGGCGGCUCACUGGCUCGGAACUGACGCUGAGGUGCGAAAGCGUGGGGAGCAAACAGG